UUGACUGAUUGCUUUCUUCAGUCGUUAGGGGAAAAAGCUUCAAAUUUAGAAGAUUUAACUGAAGUGGGUAGUAAUGAAAAUGCUGUUUCCUGAGGAUUUGGAAACAUUCUAAACAUUCUGUUAUCAGCUCUCAGAGAGUCUACAGAGUGGACCAGAAGCACUGCCAACCCCAGGAGGUGUGUGGACCUUCAUCAUCCUACCUUUGAACUUCCCCUUCAGGGACAGUCUCCUGACACGACCUUCAUAGAUCCGACGAUGCCCAGCUGUGGGGCCUAUAAAUACCAGGUUUGAAUUUCAAGUGUUCUAUUUCAUACCAGAAGUUGAAAUAAACGAAUGACUGCUUUCGUGAUGGAAUCCACUCUGCAUUCUCCCUUCUGAUCCUGAAAUCCCCUCUAUAGCUCUUUGAAGAGGUGGUCUCUUCUUCAGGUGGGCUUGAAUUCUUCUAGUGACAGAGAAUUUAUUACCUCAUUAUUUGCCACAGUUUAGUGAGUUACUGUUUACCUUCUUGUACUCCUGUUGUUGUUUAGUCACUAAGUCGUGUCCAGCUCUUUGAGACCCCACGGACUGUAGCCCGCCAAGUUCCUCUGUCCUUGGGAUUUCCCAGGCAAGAAUACUGGAGUGGG